CUAUGUCGGCGACCGGCGCACGGGUGCGUAACGCGUAUGCAACCUACCCAUUACAGGGGGAUAACACUGAGAAAUCGGUACUAAUACCCCAUAACAUCCAGGGAGGCAUCUUCUUGGGUUGAAAACUCCGGUGGUAAUGGAUGGGCAUGCGUUGUAUUAGUUAGUUGGUGGGGUAACGGCUCACCCCCAAGACAACGAUACAUAGGGGGACUGAGAGGUUAACCCCCCACAUUGGUACUGAGACACGGACCAAACUCCUACGGAAGGCAGCAG
rnacentral:rRNA from 1 species